rnacentral:lncRNA from 1 species
GUGAACUCUACUAUGGAUACGGCUCAAGCAGACGUGGUUAAAAAGCAGUUAUCAGAACUUAUUUGGGUUGGGGUAUGAGGAUAGUUGUUAAUUGGGGUGCCCAUAUAGGUUUGGGGUAUUGGAAGAGCCGAUUGUUUGUGACACUCAUACUAGUUGGACUAUAAAGGCUAUUGAUGAUUAUAACACUCAUAUGGGUUGGGGUAUGAGAAUGACCGAUUGUUGCUGACUGUCCAUAUAUAGAGGGGAUCCUAGUAGAAUCUCAAUUAUACCGGUCAAAACGGCAUCGCAUGAUGAAAUUCAAGAAAGCAAAUAAAAACUAUAAAUCUCAAUUGAAUAUGAAAUCUGUUGAGCUAAUUUGCAUUCUAUAUGUGUUUUUCUUUGAAUUAAAAUAUAGUGGUUUCUGUGUAAAAGUGUAGUUAUUCAAACAUGGACAUGGUAUGAUUGGGUGACAUUAUGAAUGAGAAAGACAUAAGAAGUUUUUUGAGUAUAAAAUGAAUUUUAAAGUUUAUAUUCCAUAUGUGUUUUAUUAUUUUCUACAACGCUUGAUAAGUUAUUACAUUGAUUGGUUUUCUUAUCUUUACUAGAGUAGUGUAGCUAACUUUAUUCAUUAAUUAUCAUUUGUAUAUCAGGAGACCUAAGACCCCGCACCUGAAAAGUGAGAGAUUUGCUAAAAGGUUUUCUAUUUUUGUUUUAGAAAGAAUUUGAGGUUAAUUGUAACAACCUGAACUUCAAUGUCGGUGGAUAUGAAUCUUUACACAAUAUUUCUAACUAUUGGAACCAAUAAAUAUUAAAUAUGCAGCAGAACUAUACUUUAAUACACAUCGUUUGUGACAGAAUAAUUAUUUAUUUACAAAUAAUUAAGACAUUUAACUUAAUUUAUAAAUCUAAAAUAGAAACUAACAAAGUUUUCUUCACCAUCUUCUUUUAAUCUCAAAUUUAUUUUUUAUGUCCUCUGACUUGGAUGGGGGUGAAUUGGGGUGAACUUCACGAGCUCAACAAAAAAAAAAAUUCUAUAAUAGAGAUUUACAUACAUGCAUUCACACAAUAUAUAAAAUGUAAUAAUACUUAUAUUCAAGAAAAUAUCAAACAUAGCAUCACAAUCAAAAUAUACAACAAAACAAAUCAUCACACAACAUAUUCUAAUCCUCAUUUUUCUGAUCUAACUCUUAUUCUCAUUUCAAAUCACUCUUUCAUUUUCUGAAUUCACACUUAAUAUUCUCAAUUCUCUCUUCUGAUCUAACUCUUGUAUAUGUAUUGACAUACAUAAUGAAUCAAGUGUCUUGUUAUACUUUUUAUCUCUGAGGAGUUUUUGUUUUUUCCUCUCCCAUUUAGUUUGGAAAGAUGCGAGAGGACCGCUCCCUGUGGAUGACGGCAUAUCCUUUGAUGAGAGCAGUGAUACGAAUAUCUGUUAGGGGUCACCUUUGUCUAAGUACUAUUGUGACUAUAGAAUAUCUGAUAGGGCCACUAUGGUUGGUACGGCCAUGGUCAUAGAUCGUACUAUGGUUUGGCAAGUUAAAAAUGUGCCUAAGCAAAUUACCGUUAUAUAUCUUAUCUAUUCAUUCCACAUGGAUAGCCAGAAAUCCCUAUCUACCCUCAGAGAUGGAAGUUGGAACGACUUCGCGAAUCAUGAUAUGAAAAUAUGAGCAUUUCAUAAUUUAUUUGAUUUUCUCUAUUGUUAAGUAUGAUAUUUGAUUUGAUUGUUGUGACUAUGAUAUGGUGGAUCUGAUGUCUUCUUUAAUAAAUAAAUUUAUUUUCAUAAAGUAAUAAAGGACCCUAACGUGCCAUGAUGGUAAGUAUUAAUGACAUAAUUACUCACUUUUAUAAUCUACGAUAUUAUUUAAAUAUUAUUUUUCUUACUGAGUAUAUGAAACUCACCUUUUCCAUGCCUCCCCCCCAGAUGAGAAAGAUAGUGAGAAACCAAUCGCUGACCUACCUCUUGAAGUUUAUGAGGAUCUUAUGGAUCCACAAAUCUUGAAUGCAUGACUUGUCCCGUACUCUGAUGAGUCCAACCACAUAGUAAAAGAAGUGACCCUUUUGUAGUUUUGAUAUUUUGUAUUUUGUUACCACUUAUGGCCUCAAUUAUGUACAUGUGUAAUUGGAACUGAUGAUAAAGGAUUUGUAAUAAUUUGUUCUGCUACAUACAAUUUUUAUCAUGCACUCGUAAUCUGCUUCUAUAUUUGGCACCCUUAUACCUUAAUUUGCAUUGAGAAUAUCACAAUUCUUUUGCUUAUUACUUUUACAUAUGCCUUACAUUUAUAGUUUGCACACACAUAAACAUGGAUUCACAUCUUUCUCGAACAAAAUGGACUUGUUCGCACAUAUAAAUCUCUCUACUCGGAUUCAAUUCGGAUUUCUCACCCACACAUAUCACUCCACUCAGAAUCAUAAUUUCACAUCAGUUAGUCCUUUAAAGUUUAUUUAGGUUACUAUCGUGCGUUCUCGGUUAUAUCGUUAUUGAGGAGAGAUGAAAAUGAUCCCCUCAUCACAUAGCGCACAUACAAAUCUCACAUUGGCUACAACAAAUACAUUUGCUAGGUGACCCACAUGCUAACAAAUACCUAUCCACAUCUAGACUAGAUUUCACAAAGCUAUUCAUGUACAGGUUCACCGUACCCGCUGAACUUCAACCACACACACACCUUCCCCUCCUCAAUUCAUGACUAACGAAUUAAAUGUCUUAUUAAUUAUUCACAGUUUCUUUAUUCUAUCAUCAAAAGUUUCUCUUAUUCUUUUAUCUACUUGCUACAUAACUUAUUUCCAAAUUUACCUAACUUCUUUAUUUUUAUAACUAUUUCAUAUAUUUACUUUACUAGGGCUUAUUCAAUCUAUUUUUCUAACUAAGCCACACCUCCCUAUUUCUUUGGUAUUUAUUUUUUAGAUCUUUCCAACUUAUUCAAUUUCUUAUUUAAACAUCUAAAAUCUAUAUUAACUUAAGAUUCCUAAUUCUUGCAAAUAAUCUAACACGAAUUCAAUUAUCUUAAUUUUUACAUAUAAUUAUACAUAAAUACAUAUAUUGUUACAUACACGUAGAUUACACAUUCACAUACAUAACAUGUGUAUACACAUAUUAAUACACACACAUAUAUUAUAAUACAAACAUGUACCUUCACUAAUUGUCUU